UACGAGGGGGCAAGCGUUGUUCGGAAUUAUUGGGCGUAAAGGGCGCGUAGGCGGUUUGGCAAGUUUGGUGUGAAAUCUUCGGGCUCAACUCGAAGUCUGCAUCGAAAACUGCCGGGCUUGAGUAUGGGAGAGGUGAGUGGAAUUUCCGGUGUAGCGGUGAAAUGCGUGGAUAUCGGAAGGAACACCUGUGGCGAAAGCGGCUCACUGGACCAUUACUGACGCUGAGGCGCGAAAGCUAGGGGAGCAAACAGG
rnacentral:rRNA from 1 species